rnacentral:rRNA from 1 species
AAGUCGUAACAAGGUCUCCGUAGGUGAACCUGCGGAGGGAUCAUUACAAGAACGCCCGGGCUUCGGCCUGGUUAUUCAUAACCCUUUGUUGUCCGACUCUGUUGCCUCCGGGGCGACCCUGCCUUCGGGCGGGGGCUCCGGGUGGACACUUCAAACUCUUGCGUAACUUUGCAGUCUGAGUAAACUUAAUUAAUAAAUUAAAACUUUUAACAACGGAUCUCUUGGUUCUGGCAUCGAUGAAGAACGCAGCGAAAUGCGAUAAGUAAUGUGAAUUGCAGAAUUCAGUGAAUCAUCGAAUCUCUGAACGCACAUUGCGCCCCCUGGUAUUCCGGGGGGCAUGCCUGUUCGAGCGUCAUUUCACCACUCAAGCCUCGCUUGGUAUUGGGCAACGCGGUCCGCCGCGUGCCUCAAAUCGUCCGGCUGGGUCUUCUGUCCCCUAAGCGUUGUGGAAACUAUUCGCUAAAGGGUGUUCGGGAGGCUACGCCGUAAAACAACCCCAUUUCUAAGGUUGACCUCGGAUCAGGUAGGGAUACCCGCUGAACUUAA